GACGAACGCUGGCGGCGUGCUUAACACAUGCAAGUCGAACGAUGAAGCUGGAGCUUGCUCCGGUAGAUUAGUGGCGAACGGGUGAGUAACACGUGAGAAAUCUGCCCUCCACUCUGGGAUAACUGCGGGAAACUGUAGCUAAUACCGGAUACUUUCCCUGGUGGGCAUCCACUAGGGAAGAAAGAAUUUCGGUGAAGGAUGAUCUCGCGGCCUAUCAGCUAGUUGGUGAGGUAAUGGCUCACCAAGGCGACGACGGGUAGCCGGCCUGAGAGGGUGACCGGCCACACUGGGACUGAGACACGGCCCAGACUCCUACGGGAGGCAGCAGUGGGGAAUAUUGCCCAAUGGGCGAAAGCCUGAUGCAGCAACGCCGCGUGAGGGAUGAAGGCCUUCGGGUUGUAAACCUCUUUUAGCAGGGAAGAAGCGAAAGUGACGGUACCUGCAGAAAAAGCACCGGCUAACUACGUGCCAGCCGCCGCAGUAA
rnacentral:rRNA from 1 species